ensembl:lncRNA
GCAAGAAGGAAGAGGAGAGGUUCUUCACGCAGUGGAAGGAUUGCUCUUACACCGAGAAGGGGCGGGUCUUUUACUAUAUCAGACUGGAGCGAAAGGGAAGAGGGUGGGUUACCACAUUUGGCUUCAGGAGAAUGAGGAAGUUGCUGCGGGCUUCUGUGUUUUCUCCUCUCCUGUGAGGUGAGGAAACUCAGCCUCAGAGAGGGGAAGAAAUAUGCUAAAGAUCACAAAGCUAUCAAAGUAUGGCUUCAGGCGCAUGGGCUCAGCAGUUGUGGUGCACAGACUUAGUUGCUCCGUGGCACGUGGAAUCCUCUCAGACCAGGAAUCAGACCUGUGUCUCCCGCCUUGGCAAGCAGAUUCUUUACCACUACACCACCAGGGAAGUACCCUGCCCCCCCCCGCCCCGCCCCACCCUCCACCUUCUAAAACUUCAUUUGCCAUGGGUCCCUCCACAGAGCUAGAUCCCGUAGCUGCUGGCUCCAUCUUUGAAUCCAAUUUGGCACCUUACAGCAUGCAUGCUGUGUUUGGGUACAAGGGGGAUUACGGGGAAAGCUCUCAAAGAGCCUUCACUUCUGCUUUUUGGGAAUAGUGUGCUCAGUCGUGUCCAACUCUUUGUGACCCCAUGAACUGUAGCCCACUGGGCUCCUCUAUCCAUGGAAUUUUCCAGGCAAGAAUACUGGAGUGAGUUGCUGUUUCCUUCUCCAGGGACUCUUCCUGAUCCAGGGAUCAAACCCACGUCUCUUGUGUCUUUGGCAUUGGGAGGCAGACUCUUUACCACUGCGCCACCUGGGAAGAGCCAGAAAAAUUAUGACUAGUAGAUUUUUAGGCAAUCUUAUGUCAAAUGUUUAGAUUAGAAUCCAGAGCUAGGUUAGACAGGAGGGAUUUAAAGAGCUUUUGCCCAUCUGGAAGUCCUCAUCAGGACAGCUUUGCUGGUAUCCCCAGGGAUGUGACCCACGUCUAAAGCUUAGGUUUGCCACUGCCCACUGGCCUGAAUCCCAUCGUGAAUAAAACGCAUGUUCUAAGACCAGAGCCCUCUCUUGCUUUGCUUUGUAGAAUGCUUCUUUCCCAGAGUCUGCUAUCCCUAACACCUUGGCAAUGCUGAAGUCCUACUACUGGCCAGCAAACUUACCUGGUGCUCAAGUCAUCUGCUCUGGAUUGUCCAUAAUCAGGCUCAGCCUGUCUAUUAGGAACCCUGGUUACAUGGUUUUGAAUACUCUGUUUGGCUGGUCUUUCACCUGAUGUUGGUGUAAUCAUUUUCAUUCAUUCAACAAACAUUUAUUGAGUGCCAGGCAUUGUUCUAGGACCUGGAAAUAAGAGCGAACAAAACAGAAAACAAAGCAAAACAAUAGAUCCUGCCUCCUUGGAGUGUUCUGAUAUCAGUGUCUGUUCAACUGGGUUCCUACCUCAUCUUCCGCAGCUGAAUAGUUUCCAUACACCUGCAAAGCCUUUUCCAGCUUCCAAAUCUUAACAGUCUGCUCUCCCACUGCAGUGAAGGGAACCCUCCUUUUAUAAGAUAAAGAAGUGUUGUAUGAAGAAAGGGCACCUGGCCAAGAGCAAGUAUAUAGUUGGUAAAUACACAGGAGACAAUAAACACAACUGUUAAAGUUGAGUUACCAGAAGAGGAACAAAGAAGCAGCAGAGCCAUUGGGUUAAGUCAAGUCAGCCGUAAUCUGUUGUUAAACAAUUACUUGGGAAAAAGCAUGUGAGUGAAGCUCAGUUUUACUUCUGUCUUCUUCCGGAGGAGGGUCAAGAGGAGAGAGAAGGAGAGACUCACCAGCAAAAGAAAGAGAAGUCCAGGGUGGGAGGACUCAGUCACUAAAUUGUUGCUCAAUUCUAAUAAAUGACAUUCCAGUGUGCUGUGGAAAAGCUGCAAAUUAUAUGGCAGAUCUAGUCUGUAAAGAAGUGGAAUUAUGCAGAAUUGUUAGAGUGCCAGCUUGCAAGAGAUGGAGCUUAUUAUCCUCCAGAUCACUGGCAGGAGACUGGAUGUAAUUUCCAUCCUUCACGUCCUUCUGGGAUGUGUUCCAGAAUCAGUCUGGGAUCUUGUCUUGACUGGGAUUGUGCGUGAUGGUGAUCACAAGUUCCAUUUCAUCCUUAAGGACCUCUCUUUAGGAGUCAGUGUCUAUAUUCUCAGGACCAAACAUGUUCUCAGUGUCAGUGGAAGAAUAACAUGUAAAGAAGAAUUGUAUCACAUUUGUCUUGUAAUAUUGAGCUGGGAAGUGUUUAAAGAGUUCAUUUGGUCCAACCCUCUGUGUCCAGUCAGAUGGCUACUCCAAAAACUACAGGUACUGCUUGAAAUCAGUGGUUCCCAUCUACUUUCGCCACCUCUUUUUUUUAUGUAAAAACAAACAACCAAACAAAAAAGGAAGAUGUUUUUCAUUGUGAAUCUUAGAAUUUAUUCAAAGAAAAGUUAUCUCAAAUGGUACAUAUUUCAGACUCAGUUUUAAGUCUUUUAUUUUUAUUUUUUCUAGUUCACAUGAUAACAAUACUAAGAAAGGGAUCAGGUAAUCAGCAAUGCUCUAACAUUUUCCCAACAGCUAUUAAUUUAGCUUUACAUGUAUAUAUUAAAAAAUAAUUGAUAUAAAGGGGGAUUCAUCUGAAUUAAAAGCACUGAAAGAAAAAGAAAAUUGCAAAAGAAAAUCCUAGUGGUGUUCAUUCAGCCAUCAUCCAGAGGAGGCGUGUUGUUUACCAGACCUAAUAUAUUCAGAUCACAUUGGGCAUGGCUAUCUAUUCUGAGAUCUAUGUAUCAGGAAGACUUAGCUUGCAUAUAUUAAACUUGAAAUUCAAUUGGCCGCUGAUUUAACACUCAUCAGAAAAUUUCUUUGAUCAUUUGGACUUCCAUGAAUCUCUGCUUACAAAGAGAAAGUAACUUUGCGUUGGACAGACCAUAAAACACAUGAUCAGAGUCAUAUCUAAUGUUUUAUUCUGAGAGAGCACAGCCUCUAGAAAUUCUUGUGCGUAGGAAAAGGGGGAAGCCAAUUCGGUUCUCUAACUGCAAAUAAUGGCCCUAAGGAGCCACACCUGGGCCACGCCUGCGCAGACAUAGCCGGGAGCCAGAUAACGAAACUCUACCCGGAUAGGGUUCAGUCUUUUUGAGAGGGCAUGCUUCUGAGAGCCUGGUGGGCUGCCGUCUAUGGGGUCGCACAGAGUCGGACACCACUGAAGCGACUUAGCAGCAGCAGCAGCAGCAGCCUCUGAGAUGCUUCUGGAGUGAGUGAGUCGUCAAGAGUUGUUGGCGAAUCCUAUGGGUGAGGAGCCAUGCUUCCAGGAACUUUGGGGGCUUUUCAGUCUUAGAAGCCCUUUCACAAUUGAGAUUCUCCAUUUUUAAAGCCCCAGAGGCAACCUGCAAAGGUAUGGAUCCUCAUUAAUUUCUGAUGUAUGUUGUAUAUCUGCAAGAGACCUAGAUUCUAUGCAUUGUUUCAGAUUUGAGAUUUUACACUUUUGUAUCUUAUUAAUGGUAGGGGAGGGGAUGUUUGUUGGAGGAAUGUUUGCCGUUAGUAAAGGUGGAUUGGAUGGGAAUUUCUAAGUGGAUCUGAUUGAAUUCUCUGAUGAAUAGGUGAUGCUUUACCUCUACACCUAUAGUUCUCCCACUAAGACCUGUGCUUUCUGUUUGGACAUAUGGCCACACUCAGGAUUUUUCUGGUUUUUACUUAUUUUUAUUUAUAUCCUGGCGGAGUUAAUGAUCUUCAGGGAGUACUUGUGUGUUCAAUGGAGAGCUAGAGAGUGGCUCUGGAGAUAAUGUGUUUAAUUAAACUAAAAAUUCUCCAGCACCUGUCUAUGGAAGCUGGUACCGCAGAAUGCUUGUUCCUCAAACAAAUCAGGGAUACAUUUCAAUCUAUAUCCACCAGAGCCUGUACAUUAUGGUUAUUUCUCUUCGGCGUACUGUAUUGGGGUCGAUGUGGGUGGAAAGGUAGAGGGAAGGCCAAGAAGGAAAAAAAAGAACACACACACAUAAAUCUGAAUAAUAUAUUCACGUCUAUAAUAUGUAAAACUUAAGAUGCGUCAGAAAUGGCGGAUAAAUUGACAGAUUUUUCAAAUGCCUCUUUUGCAUGUAACAACUAUGUGUUUGUUCUUAAUACAUUUUUUUGUUGAUGCAAAGAACUAUAGUGAUA